rnacentral:rRNA from 1 species
AUGUGGAUGAAGACCGUGUUCUGGGGGCUCCUAGUAUUCAUGCUCGUGGCGACAACAAUGGCGGUCGAGUAUGGUGCAAGGAGCCAUAACAGUGGUCCUUGGAGUUGGUGCGAUCCGGCGACGGGCUACAAGGUGAGCGCACUCACGGGCUGCCGGGCAAUGGUGAAGCUCCAGUGUGUGGGCAGUCAGGUGCCCGAGGCUGUCCUAAGAGAUUGCUGCCAGCAGCUGGCCGACAUCAACAACGAAUGGUGCAGGUGCGGGGACCUCAGCAGCAUGUUGCGUAGUGUUUAUCAGGAGCUCGGCGUGCGUGAGGGGAAGGAGGUGCUCCCAGGUUGCCGGAAGGAGGUGAUGAAGCUCACGGCGGCGAGCGUGCCUGAGGUCUGCAAGGUGCCCAUUCCCAACCCGUCGGGAGACAGAGCAGGUGUCUGCUACUGGGCCGCGUAUCCGGACGUCUAG